CCAGUGUUAGGGCAUUUUGCCUUGACCUUGUUUGACUCGGGAUCUUCUCAUUCAUUUAUUUCAUCGCUUUUUGUGACGCAUGCAUGCUUAGAGGUGGAACCCUUAGACUAUGUUUUGUCAGUGUCUACACCGUCUGGAGAAAUUAUGUUGUCUAAGGAAAAGAUUAAAGCAUGUGAAAUUGAGAUAGCUGGUCGUGUGCUGGACGUAACCUUGUUGGUAUUAGAUAUGCGUGACUUUGAUGUAAUUUUAGGUAUGGAUUGGCUAGCUACUAAUCAUGCUAGUAUUGAUUGUUCUCGUAAGGAAGUUGUGUUCAGUCCCCCUACUGCAUCUAGCUUUAAAUUCAAGGGGUAGGAACAGUAGUACUGCCUAAAGUAAUCUCAGCUAUGAAAGCUAGUAAACUACUCAGCCAGGGUACUUGGAGUAUUUUGGCAAGUGUGGUGGAUACUAGGGAAGGUGAGACUUCUUUAACUUCAGAACCUGUGGUAAGAGACUACCCAGAUGUAUUUCCAAAAGAUCUUCCAGGACUACCGCCACAUAGAGAGGUUGAUUUUGCCAUUGAGUUGGAGCCAAACACUACUCCUAUUUCUAGAGCCCCUUAUAGGAUGGCUCCUACUGAGUUGAAAGAACUGAAGGUACAGUUACAGGAAUUGCUUGAUAAAGGCUUUAUUCGACCUAGUGUGUCACCUUGGGGUGCACCAGUAUUGUUUGUGAAGAAGAAGGAUGGGUCGAUGCGUCUUUGCAUUGACUAUAGAGAGUUGAAUAAAGUAACAGUCAAGAACAGAUAUCCUUUACCCAGAAUCGAUGAUUUGUUCGAUCGGUUACAGGGAGCCACGGUGUUCUCUAAGAUUGACUUACGGUCAGGUUAUCACCAGUUGAGGAUUAGAGACCGUGAUAUUCCUAAGACUGCUUUUCGUUCGAGGUAUGGACAUUAUGAAUUCAUAGUAAUGUCUUUUGGUUUGACUAAUGCACCUGCUGUAUUUAUGGAUUUGAUGAACAGGGUGUUUAAGGAUUUCUUGGACACUUUUGUGAUAGUCUUCAUUGAUGAUAUUUUGGUUUAUUCCAAGACUGAAGCCGAACAUGAGGAACACUUACAUAAGGUGUUAGAGACUCUUCGAGUCAAUAAACUGUAUGCUAAGUUCUCGAAGUGCGAAUUUUGGUUGAAGCAGGUGGCUUUUCUUGGUCAUGUGGUUUCCAGUGAGGGAGUUUCAGUAGACCCUGCAAAGAUAGAAGCGGUUACCAGUUGGUCUCGACCCUCUACAGUUAGUGAGGUUCGUAGUUUUCUGGGUUUAGCAGGGUACUACCGGAGGUUUGUGGAGGAUUUUUCACGUUUGGCUACUCCUUUGACUCAGUUGACAAGGAAGGGAACUCCGUUUGUUUGGAGUCCAGCUUGUGAGGAUAGUUUUCAGAACUUAAGCAAAGGUUAGUUACUGCACCGGUCCUUACGGUACCAGAUGGAUCUGGAAGUUUUGUGAUUUACAGUGAUGCUUCCAAGAAAGGACUGGGUUGUGUUUUGAUGCAGAAAGGUAAGGUGGUUGCUUAUGCCUCUCGUCAGUUGAAGAGUCACGAGCAGAACUACCCCACACAUGAUUUGGAGUUGGCAGCAGUGGUUUUUGCAUUGAAGAUAUGGAGACAUUACUUGUACGGUGAAAAGAUACAAAUCUUUACUGACCAAAGAGCCUAAAGUACUUCUUCACUCAGAAGGAGUUGAAUAUGAGACAGCGAAGGUGGCUCGAGUUGGUAAAAGAUUAUGACUGUGAGAUAUUGUACCAUCCUGGUAAGGCGAAUGUUGUGGCUGAUGCUCUUAGUAGAAAAGUAUCACAUUCGGCAGCACUCAUUACUAGACAGGUACCAUUGCAUCGAGACUUGGAGAGAGCUGAGAUUGCAGUGUCUGUGGGGAGAGUCACCUCACAGCUAGCUCAAUUAACGGUGCAACCGACUCUGAGGCACAAGAUUGUUGAUGCUCAGAGUAGUGAUCCUUAUUUAAUGGAGAGACGUCGCCUUGUUGAAACAGGGCAGACUGAUGAGUUCUCCAUAUCCUCUGAUGGUGGGUUGAUGUUUGAAAGACGUUUAUGUGCCAGCGAACAGUACAGUUAAGAUUGACUUACUAGAUGAAGCCCAUAAUUCCCCAUGUUCCAUGCAUCCUGGUAGCACGAAAAUGUAUCAGGAUUUAAAACGAUUUUACUGGUGGCGGAAUAUGAAAAGGAAGUGGCGGAAUUUGUUAGUAAGUGUCUAGUAUGUCAGCAAGUUAAGGCACCUAGACAGAAACCAGCAGGUUUGUUACAACCCUUAAGUGUGCCAGAGUGGAAGUGGGAGAAUGUGUCGAUGGAUUUUAUUUCAGGGCUGCCUAAGACCCUGAAGGGUUUUCACAGUGAUUCUGGUUGUCAUAGACAGGCUUACGAAAUCGGCACAUUUUAUACCAGGAAAAUCCACUUAUACUGCUAGUAAGUGGGCAGAGUUGUAUUUAACUGAGAUUGUGAGACUGCAUGGAGUGCCUGUAUCGAUUGUUUCUGAUAGGGAUGCACGGUUUACUUCCAAGUUUUGGAAGGGACUUCAGACUGCUAUGGGUACAAGAUUGGAUUUCAGUACAGCCUUUCAUCCACAGACUGAUGGUCAAACUGAACGUUUGAACCAAGUUUUAGAGGAUAUGCUACGAGCUUGUGUUCUAGAGUUUCCAGGUAGUUGGGACUCUCAUCUACAUUUAAUGGAGUUUGCUUAUAACAACAGUUUCCAGGCUACCAUCGGUAUGGCGCCAUUUGAAGCUUUGUAUGGUAAAUGUUGUAGAACCCCUGUUUGUUGGAGUGAGGUUGGUGAACAUAGGUUGAUGGGACCUGAAUUAGUUCGGUCUACUAAUGAGACUAUUCAAAAGAUUAGAGCACGUAUGCAAACAGCGCAGAGUAGACAGAAGAGUUAUGCAGAUGUACGGCGAAAAGACCUUAAGUUCGAUGUGGGAGAAAAGGUAUUCUUGAAGGUAGCACCUAUGAAGGGUGUUAUGCGUUUUGAGAAGAAAGGAAAGUUAAGUCCUCGUUUUGUUGGACCAUUUGAGAUCUUAGAGAGGGUUGGUGUUGUGGCGUAUCGCUUGGCAUUACCACCAUCUCUCUCUGCAGUUCAUAAUGUUUUCCAUGUUUCGAUGUUGAGGAAGUAUGUGGCCGAUACAUCUCAUGUAGUGGACUAUGAACCCUUGGAGAUUGAUGAGCAUUUGAGCUAUGUAGAACAACCUGUGGAGAUUCUGGCUAGAGAAAUAAAGAUGCUUCGUAAUAGAAGCAUUCCAUUAGUAAAGGUUUUGUGGCGGAAUCAUCGAAUUGAAGAGGCGACAUGGGAGCGAGAGGAAGAGAUGAGGACUCGUUAUCCAGAGUUAUUUCAGGAGUAAAACUUUCGAGGACGAAAGUUUCUUAAGGAGGGAAGAAUGUAAUGCCCCAAAGGUGUAUAUAUAUAUAUAUAUUUGUUUUUAUUAUAUAUAUAUAUAUAUAUAUAUAUAUAUAUAUAUAUAUAUUAUAUAUAUAUAUAUUUAUUUAUAUUUAAUUUAAAUAAAAAGACAAGAAAAAGAAAUUUAUCUCUCUCUCUCUCUCGCGCGCUGCACAGCCCCCCCCCCCCCCGUUCUCUUCUCUUUUCCUUUCUCUUUUCUCUUCUCCCUUCCGUCUCCUUCCGUUCGCAGCCAGCAACCGCCGCCCCUUCUUCUCUUUUCUUCCUCUUUCGUUCGACGUCGACGAUCAGACCAAGCCGAAAACGAAAACCCAUCCCUCUUUUCUUCUUCGGAUCUAAACCGCCGCGCCCAUCCGCCUGUAACCGUCGUGCCUCUCCGCUCACAACCGUCGUGCCUCCCUCGGAAAGCAAAUCGUCGUCCAGAUCUGCAUUGCCGAGCCGUCCAGGUCCUCGCCGCCGCUCGUGCUUCACCUUGUAGUUCGCCGUAACCCAGAUCCAUCGCUGUCCGAUCUCUUCUCCUCGUCCCGCCGUCGCCGCUGCACUCGCCUGAAGUCAUCGUCCGUCCUGUUUCGCGAAGCUCCGCCGCUCCACCUGUUAUCGACGGCGGCCGACUAGCUCUUAUUAAAAAAAAAAAAAAUCCAAAACCCUUCUGCCUUCGUUUGCAAAACGUCGCGGCGUGAAUUCUGCCUUCUAAUCGUGGAUUUGACCUCCAAGUUGUGAGUUGAUUGGUAUUGUGGAUAUAGUAAUAUUGUUCUUGGCUAGUAAGUUUUAAAAACUGGUUAAUUGAUUUGGGUAAUGCUGAUUUUAAGGUGAUACUGAAGAGGUCGUGCUUAGAUAUCUAAGUUCCAACGUGAGCUUCAUUGGAAUUGUUGCUUCAUUCUACUUGGAAUUUGUCUUAUUGAAUUUAGCCCGAUUGAAAAACUUACAUAACCUUGAGGUAAGGGAUUUUCUACUGGACUCACCUAAAGUUUUUGAGUUGUGUUGGACUGUAUGGAUGAUGAUUAAGAUGUACAUGUUUGAUUGCAGACUAAAUGUUUAGUGUAUGUUGUAUUUGACUGGAAACAUAUUAUAUACAUUGAUGUGUGAAUUGAUGUGGAUUGCCGAAAGUAUACAUGUGAAUGACUGAAAUUAUGCUUAUGUGUACAUGAUGAUAUUAAUAGAUUGUGCUGUAUAAAGAUUGGAUGUGAACUAGUGAAUUUGUUUCGGUUGGAUGUGGAUUAUACUGAACUGUGGUUUGUGCUGGUGAACUGAGGGGUGUAUUGACUUGACUGUAUAGUGGAUUGACUGAUGUAUUAGCAUUUUAUUGACAGACAUAUGAUUGUAGUAAAAUAAGUUGACUGUUAGGAUGUUGAAAGAAAGGACUUUGUGAUUUGAAGUAUCUGAAAGAUGGGUUGAAUGGAAUGAGGGGAUAAAUUGUUAGGUUGUAUUGGGAUGUUUACCUUGUAGGUGUCCCACGGGAUCACCAAUUUAUUUUGCACCUUCGGGAGCAUUUGACUGAUAUGUGUUUCUGCAGAACACUUGACUGAUAUGUACGUCCCUCGGGGCGUUAGACUGAUAUGUACGUCCUUCGGGGCGUUAGACUGAAAUGUGUAUCCUACGGGAUCACAAGACUGCGACUGUACAGGGUGUCCCAAUAGAACUUUAACAAUUUAUUUUCCCCUGACGAGACCAGUAGAGGGUCUCUUACUGAGUAUUGUUAUACUCACCCUUCUUAUGUUUAAUUUUCAGGCAAAGGAAAUAAAGGUGGCAAACCGGCGAGGGGCAGGAAGCGUGAUUGCCAUAGGGAAUGUGUUAUUUUGCUUCCGCUUAUGAUUUCUUUUAAGGUUUAAGAUGUACUAAAACUUCGUUUACAAACUUUUAUUUGUAAAUAGUGUUAUUGUUAAGUUUUCUUGAAUAUUUGAAAAUCAGGCCUGGCAUGUUUUGUUUUUAAAUUGACUUAUGUUUCAAUUUGUAUCAACCAAAGUCUUUUCUCAAAAAUAAUAACGACCUCCACUUACUUAGAAAAGUUGGGUCGUUACAGUUGGUAUCAGAGCCUAAGUUUUAGGUUCUGUAGACUGACUUACGAUGUAAGUCUAUGUUUUUGUGUUCCUAUGGCUAACGCAACCCUUCGUCUCUCGUCAGGUAUGCUUGAUGCUUAUAUGUAUGGUUUAUUUGCAUGACCUUGCCUAAAUUAAACUAGAUUGCAUGACGAUAAAGACUUGCUUAUGUUUAUGAUUAAGAUUUUGUUAAAGAGUGUUGUUGGUGGAUAAUAGGAAUUAUGCCGCCAAGGGAAGAAGUACGUAGAGGAGGUCGUAGAGGCCGAGGUAGAGGAGCAGGAGGCCGAGGUAGAGGAGUAGGUCGUAAUCAGCCUACUGAGGGUCAAGCUGAACAUCGAAUUCCUGCUGCACCCGUGACUCACGUCGAGUUUGAUGCACUGUCUGCUCACAUGGAGCAGAGGUUUACAGAACUUAUGACAGCCAUAGCUCAAAACCAGCAGGCACCUGCAGUCCCACCUGCACCUGUAGUUCCCCUGCACAGCAGCCCCUCCUGCACAAGAAUUACCUAACCAACUUUCUGCUGAGGCGAAACAUUUGAGGGACUUUCGGAAGUAUGACCCUCAGACGUUUGAUGGGUCACUGGAGGAUCCUACUAAAGCUGAAAUGUGGUUGUCCUCUGUGGAAACCAUAUUUAAUUACAUGAGAUGUCCCGAGGAGCACAGAGUUCAGUCUGCUGCUUUUCUACUGAGGGACAGAGGCAUUAUCUGGUGGAGGACUACAAUGCGCAUGCUAGGUGGAGAUGUGAGGCAAAUUACCUGGGAUCAGUUUAAGAACUGCUUCUAUACCAAGUUUUUCUCGGCUAACCUUAGAGACGCCAAAAGCCAGGAAUUCUUGGAGUUGAAGCAAGGAUAUAUGACAGUCGAGGAGUACGACCAGGAGUUUGAUAUGCUGUCACGUUUUGCCCCUGAGCUUGUUAGUAAUGAGCAGGCUAGAGCUGAUAGGUUCGUCAAGGAUUGAGAGAUGAAAUUAGGGGUUUUGUGCGAGCACUAAAGCCCACUACCCAAGCUGAAGCACUGCGUCUGGCAGUGGAUAUGAGUAUUGGGAAGGAUGAAAGACAGCCAAGGAGCUUUAAUAAGGGAUCGCCGUCGGUCAAAAGAGAAAAGUAGAGCAGAGAACUGUAGGAGUUCCUCAGAGGAACAUGAGACCAGGUGAUUCUUUUCGCAGUUUCCAGCAGAGUUCUAGCGGUGCAGGAGACACUACUCAAGAGAGGCCAGUAUGUAAUACGUGUGGGAAACGCCACCUGGGUCGUUGUUUGAUGGGAACGAGAGUCUGUUAUAAGUGCAAGCAAGAGGGACACAUGGCUGAUAGGUGUCCCUUGAGAUCUACUGGGGCUGGAUCGAGCAGUCAGGGAGAGAGACCUCCACAGCGGGGUACAAUCUUUGCCACUAAUAGAUUAGAGGCAGAGAAGGCCGGCACAGUAGUGACAGGUACAUUACCAGUGUUAGGGCAUUUUGCCUUGACCUUGUUUGACUCGGGAUCUUCUCAUUCAUUUAUUUCAUCGCUUUUUGUGACACAUGCAUGCUUAGAAGUGGAACCCUUAGACUAUGUUUUGUCAGUGUCUACACCGUCUGGAGAAAUUAUGUUGUCUAAGGAAAAGAUUAAAGCAUGUGAAAUUGAGAUAGCUGGUCGUGUGCUGGACGUAACCUUGUUGGUAUUAGAUAUGCGUGACUUUGAUGUAAUUUUAGGUAUGGAUUGGCUAGCUACUAAUCAUGCUAGUAUUGAUUGUUCUCGUAAGGAAGUUGUGUACCUCCUAACUCUAUAUGUAGUGGAGCUAACUAAGAUGUCUCUCUCAUCCUUUAAGAUCGAUUGAGAUUAUAACUUGUUUUUUUGCUUUAUGGACACAUAUGAUUUUUAAGAGAUGGGAUUAGACAACG
rnacentral:lncRNA from 1 species